rnacentral:rRNA from 1 species
UACGUAGGGGGCAAGCGUUGUCCGGAUUUAUUGGGCGUAAAGAGCGUGUAGGCGGCCACACAGGUCAGCUGUGAAAACUCGAGGCUCAACCUCGAGACGUCGGUUGAAACCGUAUGGCUAGAGUCCGGAAGAGGAGAGUGGAAUUCCCGGUGCAGCGGUGAAAUGCGCAGAUAUCGGGAGGAACACCGGUGGCGAAGGCGGUUCUCUGGGCCUGUACUGACGCUGAGGAGCGAAAGCGUGGGGAGCGAACAGG